CUCGGAUGCGCUUGAUCAUGCCUUUGCCUCUCCCGCCGCCGCCGCCUGUUCGGGCGGCGGUGUGCGUGCUGCAAAGCGUGGGACGGCGGAGCGGAGAAAGGGGCCGGGACAGGGGAUGAAAAGCUCUCUUAUUUUGCUUCCGACCUCAGAUCGGACGAGAUUACCCGCUGAAUUUAAGCAUAUCAC
rnacentral:rRNA from 1 species